CUUUUCUCUAUAUUGUUCUUGUUCUUGUUCUUAUAUUAUUUCAUAACAUUUUCUUGAUUUUGACAAAAGGUUCAAAACCAUGUUUCUUGUGUCUUUGAGAGCCACGUUAUAUUAACUGAAAUAUUCACCAACUUAAUUACCAAAUCAAUUUAUGACUGAUAUAAUAUGAAAGAUUACAUUCCAAAAUAUGCAUAAAAAACAUUUAUACGUAUCCAUACAUACUUGCGAAAAUUAUGUACAUUGUCCUGGAUACAUGUUUACAAGUACAAUAAUAUUGAAUUACAAUACAGAGAAAAGGAGAGAUACAUACUAGUUGUGGUUGUCAUGAGAAUAAUAGUGAAAGAUCAAACAAAAAUUUAAGCAAUGCCAUGUUAGGAAUAAUAAUUCACGUAUUAUGAAUAUUUUUGUGUGGACAUCUUAUUGCUUUUUUAAGGUUGUAGUUUAUAUGCUUACCUAUAGUUAAACGAGUUCUCUAGCAUGAAUUAUAAUUGUUUCAUUUUUAUUAUUAUUGUUCUAACUUGUUACAAGGUCAGCCUCCAUGUUAAAAUUUUGCAAGAUUCAGUUGACUCUCUUGCUUGCCUCCAGGAAAUGAAUCGCAUUCAAAUAGUUCUCUAAAUAAUUAGAGCAAGCUAGAUAGUUUGGCUAGCAAAUAAAUUAUGGUAAAAUUUGUUUCCAAGUUGACCCAAUGAAGAAAGUUGGCCUAAGUUUAUAAUCGAUGUUUUUGGAAAAUGUAUGUGAGAAUUUAAGAUGAAUAGAUUCAUAGUAUUUUGCAUUAAAAUAUCUGUAAUCUUCUAUUAUUGAAGAUGAAUAAUAAUAUUUCUCCUUAAUAUUCAAUGUGACUGGCCAUAUGAAAUGUAUAUUAACGAACAUCAGUAGUUUAAUCUAUAUGUAAAUUAGUUGGUUCUUUUGGUGUUUAGGAAUCUUUUCCGGCAUGGGAGUGAAAUGAAUCUAAAUUGAGCAGAAUGAAUAUUGAGGGCUCCAUCCAAUUUACUUGGAAUUGAUGUGAAGUUGCUGGAAUCGUAGGUUUGGAGAGGGGUUGGGUUUUGAAUUUUGUGCAUUAUAACACAUUUUGGGAAAUAGAUGAUUGGACCAUUGAGGUUGUGUAGCAAGGUUGGCUCACCCUAUAAAUUCAUCACUUUCAGGACUAUGUGUACAUAGUUGGUGAGAUGUAUUGCUAUGAGCGAUUUACUGAUAGUGGUGGCCGAUUUACUAAUCUAUAGUUGGAGGCUUAAUUUCUAAGCAUGGGCUGAAGAAUUUCAUCCAUCUAAUACAAUGGCAGACCUAUAUGCUUGUACAAGUGUGUCCAAUUGAAUACAAUUUGUCAAAAUCUUUUACUAACUUUAUGUGUAAAUUAUUGUUAAACCAUGAAAAAAUUGUUUAACAGAUGUUGAACCCGCUUGACAUUGGCAAAAAGAAACUUUUGGUUCAAUAUUUUCUCUUUGCCAAUGUCAAGCUGGUUCAUGAUAUGCCCAGGGACUUGAUAACAUUUUUGCCAACUCCAAUGCAUUUAUGGUGGCGCGAUGAACGGAAAUUUCAAUUGAGAAGAUAUUCUUGGUUCAAAAGGUAACAUCCUAAGAGUAUUUGCUCUUCGACAUGCCAAAACAUAAGUGCUAUGCAAGGAAGGUGAUUCUGUUGUAGCCAUGCACUGCAUUGGAGCUGCUUCUGGGGUCAAGCUUGUCUCAUCAAGAGAUGACUAUUGACUCGUGAUUUGAUCUAGUUUCGAUUGUUCCAAAUGGGUGACUGCUAAAUGAUUUUCUUAUUCCGCCGAAUCAUUUUUCCGGCUUCUAGAGAUAGACUUAUGACCAUACAACAACAACAACCCAGUAUAAUCCCACUUGGUUGGAAGUGGUUGCUUACCAUCAGAGCAACCCCUCUUGUCUUAUGACCAUGACCAUGCCUUCCCAUAUUUCUUUGUUCUUGCAACACUUCGCUUCUACUGCAGAAUUUGGGAAUGAGGCGUAGUUAUUGUCGAUUCGUUUUGAAAUUAUCUGGCUAAAGUGGAGUCAUCUGCGAAUUAUGUACUGAGCCUUACAGGCUCUAGAUUAAAAUUGUCCUGUCCCUCACAGAACUGUUGCCCACUAUGACUCAUUUCUCAGCUUUCAUUUGAUGUUUGUUGAAACUGCUGCCAAGUUGUACGUAAUGACACUUGAGAGAAUGGAAAUGCCAAAGAUGUCAAUUCUCAACUUUCUAUGUAUAUGACAUGAAUAUAUAAUUGGUCGUCCAUGUGCUUGUCAGCUGCUACAAUUUCGAUUUGUCGUGGUAUUGUUAAAAUUAAACUUCACUUAGGUUAACCAACUCGAUAGUUUUACGUCUUUCCAGUUUUUAAUAUGAGAUUUUAUUCGUACAUCUAACUUCUUUAGUAAUAUAGCUAAUUGUUGGUUAUUCGUAUGUUAUGGAAAAUCAUCGUGGCUAAAGUGUUUAACCACGAAAAUUCCAUAUUUAGUUAUGAUGUUCUUUAUUUUGCCUACUAAUUUAUGUCA
rnacentral:lncRNA from 1 species